GACGGAGGAUGCAAGCGUUAUCCGGAAUGAUUGGGCGUAAAGCGUUUGUAGGCGGCUGUUCAAGUCUGCUGUGAAAGCCCGGGGCUUAACUUCGGAAAGGCAGUGGAAACUGAACAGCUAGAGUAUGGUAGGGGCAGAGGGAAUUCCUGGUGUAGCGGUGAAAUGCGUAGAGAUCAGGAAGAACAUCGGUGGCGAAGGCGCUCUGCUGGACCAUAACUGACGCUCAGGGACGAAAGCUAGGGGAGCGAAUGGG
rnacentral:rRNA from 1 species